CUUGGCGACCAUAGCGUUUUGGACCCCACCUGACUUCCAUGCCGAACUCAGAAGUGAAACGAAAUAGCGCCGAUUGGUAGUGUGGGGUUUCCCCCAUGUGAGAGUAGGACAUCGCCAGGC
rnacentral:rRNA from 1 species